ensembl:scaRNA Gm26413 predicted gene, 26413
GCUGGAGGCUCGAGAAGGCUGAGUGUGAUGAAGCAGGACUUUGCUGAUCCGCUAACCUAGAGAAAGGGGUGGAGAGAGCAGCCCUUACUGGAGAAAGCCACAGGGCUGACUGUACUGCCCGACACUU